rnacentral:siRNA from 1 species
GGAGAUCCUAGAAUGUUGGUU